GACGAACGCUGGCGGCGUGCCUAAUACAUGCAAGUAGAACGCUGAAGGAGGAGCUUGCUUCUCUGGAUGAGUUGCGAACGGGUGAGUAACGCGUAGGUAACCUGCCUGGUAGCGGGGGAUAACUAUUGGAAACGAUAGCUAAUACCGCAUAAGAGUAGAUGUCGCAUGACAUUUGCUUAAAAGGUGCAAUUGCAUCACUACCAGAUGGACCUGCGUUGUAUUAGCUAGUUGGUGGGGUAACGGCUCACCAAGGCGACGAUACAUAGCCGACCUGAGAGGGUGAUCGGCCACACUGGGACUGAGACACGGCCCAGACUCCUACGGGAGGCAGCAGUAGGGAAUCUUCGGCAAUGGACGGAAGUCCGACCGAGCAACGCCGCGUGAGUGAAGAAGGUUUUCGGAUCGUAAAGCUCUGUUGUAAGAGAAGAAUGAGUGUGAGAGUGGAAAGUUC
rnacentral:rRNA from 1 species